AAGUCGUAACAAGGUUUCCGUAGGUGAACCUGCGGAAGGAUCAUUAUCAUACAACCGAGGCACGAGGGCUGUCGCUGACGUUUUCGUCGUGCACGCCCAAAGCGCUCUCACACAUCCAUCUCACCCUUAUGUGCACCACCGCGUGGGUCCCCCCUUUUGAAGGGGGGGCUCGCGUUUUCAUACAAACUUGACGCAGUGUAGAAUGUCUUUAUAUUUUGCGAUCACACGCAAUCAAUACAACUUUCAACAACGGAUCUCUUGGCUCUCGCAUCGAUGAAGAACGCAGCGAAAUGCGAUACGUAAUGUGAAUUGCAGAAUUCAGUGAAUCAUCGAAUCUUUGAACGCACCUUGCGCCCCUUGGCAUUCCGAGGGGCACACCCGUUUGAGUGUCGUGAAAUUCUCAAAACCUUUUCUUUGGUCUUUCGACCGGGUUUAGCGUUUUGGACUUGGAGGCUUUUUGCUGGUUUCACCUUGAAGCGAGCUCCUCCUAAAUGGAUUAGCGGGGUCUGCUUUGCCGAUCCUUGACGUGAUAAGAUGUUUCUACGUCUCGGGUUUGGCACUGUCCCUUGGGCACCUGCUUCUAACCGUCUCAUCGACAAUGAUGGCGUUCCGGUCACCACCGUUUCAUCGGUGGGAGNCUCGACCCACGAAACAAAGCUUGACCUCAAAUCGGGUGGACUACCCGCUGAACUUAAGCAUAUCAAUAAGCGGAGGAAAAGAAACUACANGGAUUCCCCUAGCANCUGCGAGUGAAGCGGGAAAAGCUCAAANUUUAAAAUCUGGUGGCCUUUGNCCNUCCGAGUNGUAAUUUAGAGAAGCGUCUUCCGCGCUGGACCGUGCACAAGUCUCCUGGAAUGGAGCGUCAUAGAGGGUGAGAAUCCCGUCUUUGGCACGGACACACCAGGGCUUCUGUGAUGCGCUCUCGAAGAGUCGAGUUGUUUGGGAAUGCAGCUCAAAAUGGGUGGUGAACUCCAUCUAAAGCUAAAUAUUGGCGAGAGACCGAUAGCGAACAAGUACCGUGAGGGAAAGAUGAAAAGCACUUUGGAAAGAGAGUGAAACAGUACGUGAAAUUGUUGAAAGGGAAACGCUUGAAGUCAGUCGCGUUGGACGAGACUCAGCCUUGCCUUGGCUUGGUGUACUUCUCGGCCGACGGGUCAGCAUCAAUUUUGCCCCUUGGAUAAUGGCGAGGGAAAUGUGACACCUUUACGGGUGUGUUAUAGUCCUUCGUCGCAUGCAAGGGUCGGGAUUGAGGAAUUCGGCACGCGCCUUUCGGCGUCGGGGCUUGCCCACGAUACGUGCUUAGGAUGUUGGCGUAAUGGCUUUAAACGACC
rnacentral:rRNA from 1 species